GACGAACGCUGGCGGCGUGCCUAAUACAUGCAAGUAGAACGCUGAAGAGAGGAGCUUGCUCUUCUUGGAUGAGUUGCGAACGGGUGAGUAACGCGUAGGUAACCUGCCUUGUAGCGGGGGAUAACUAUUGGAAACGAUAGCUAAUACCGCAUAACAAUGGAUGACACAUGUCAUUUAUUUGAAAGGGGCAAUUGCUCCACUACAAGAUGGACCUGCGUUGUAUUAGCUAGUAGGUGAGGUAAUGGCUCACCUAGGCGACGAUACAUAGCCGACCUGAGAGGGUGAUCGGCCACACUGGGACUGAGACACGGCCCAGACUCCUACGGGAGGCAGCAGUAGGCAAUCUUCGGCAAUGGGGGCAACCCUGACCGAGCAACGCCGCGUGAGUGAAGAAGGUUUUCGGAUCGUAAAGCUCUGUUGUAAGUCAAGAACGGGUGUGAGAGUGGAAAGUUCACACUGUGACGGUAGCUUACCAGAAAGGGACGGCUAACUACGUG
rnacentral:rRNA from 1 species